rnacentral:rRNA from 1 species
GACGAACGCUGGCGGCGUGCUUAACACAUGCAAGUCGAACGGAAAGGCCCUGCUUGCAGGGUACUCGAGUGGCGAACGGGUGAGUAACACGUGGGUGAUCUGCCCUGCACUUCGGGAUAAGCCUGGGAAACUGGGUCUAAUACCGGAUAGGAGCCAUUUUUAGUGUGAUGGUUGGAAAGUUUUUUCGGUGUAGGAUGAGCUCGCGGCCUAUCAGCUUGUUGGUGGGGUAAUGGCCUACCAAGGCGGCGACGGGUAGCCGGCCUGAGAGGGUGGACGGCCACAUUGGGACUGAGAUACGGCCCAGACUCCUACGGGAGGCAGCAGUGGGGAAGAUUGCACAAUGGGCGCAAGCCUGAUGCAGCGACGCCGCGGGGGGGAUGACGGCCUUCGGGUUGGAAACUCCUUUCGCUAGGGACGAAGCUUUUUGUGACGGUACCUAGAUAAGAAGCACCGGCUAACUACGUG